GAAGACCCUAACGUUUCUAGGUUUGACAAAAUCAAGAGAGGAAUCAUGGAUUUGGUGACUUUCUACAAGGAGACCCUGAAGGAGAAGCAGACGAAGAGAAGUGUGCAGUCCAGGCUUGACACUUUCUUUCACAAGUCUCCAGUACCACCACCUCCCACUCCUAGUCCUGGUAAGGAAUUCUGAACUGUUUUACUAAUUUAUGUGUUUACAUAGUGUACAUAUUAAAAUGUGUUAAUUUUUUAAUGUAACAACUAAAUGUAAGAGUAAAUUGUAACUUCAUUAAUUUUCAUCAUUUGUAAUUUUAUUGCAGAAGUGGUGACAGUUCCAGAUCCCCCUGUACUACCUGUGACAGUUCCAGAUCUCCCUGUACUACCUGUGACAGUUCCAGAUCUCCCUGUACUACCUGUGACAGUUCCAGAUCCCCCUGUACCUGGACCCUCUGUAUCAGCCCGCCCACCUGCACGUGUACAAUCAGACCCCUUUGAUAGUGACAGUGACCCAGAUGACCCUGAGCCUUUCCAUGGUUUUGAUGCCUCGCCCUAUACAUCAGAUGUAGAUGUUCCCUCAUCAGUUGAUACGAGUAUCACCUCUCCAGAGCCCAAAUCAGUUGAUACGAGUAGUAUCACCUCUCCCAUUCCUUCAGACUCCCAAGCACCUGCCCAUCCCACUCCAUAGCCCAGCCACCCACUCUCAUGUACCAUAUGGCCAUCCCAGUAAGCAAGCCAACCACUAGAAUUUGACUGGCAUGCACCUGUGACUUACAUAAACCAGACCUCUACAUAGCCUACAUGUCUUCAUUUUGCUGAAGGUAAGGAAUUCUCAGUUGUGUUUAAUGUUUGCAUACGUACAAUAAAUUUUGUACACCUAAGUGGUUACAUACUGUCCUUUAAUAUUAAUUCUUCAUUCCAGACUGCCCAUCAUCCUAGCCUGUUGUUAUCUGUGAUAAAGCACACUGAAGUUAGGUUUGGAAUGCAUCCUUAUCAUGAAUGCUCUACACCUCCACCUCCAUCUCCCACAACCUAGGUAACAGCUUUGAGACUCACUAAAAGUUGAACCCCCUGAAUGAUGUAGGCUAUGGGGCCACAUAAGACUUUGUCCAUCC